GAUGAACGCUGGCGGCGUGCCUAAUACAUGCAAGUCGAGCGAACAGACAAGGAGCUUGCUCCUUUGACGUUAGCGGCGGACGGGUGAGUAACACGUGGAUAACCUACCUAUAAGACUGGGAUAACUUCGGGAAACCGGAGCUAAUACCGGAUAACAUUUUGAACCGCAUGGUUCUAAAGUGAAAGACGGUUUUGCUGUCACUUAUAGCUGGAUCUGCGCCGGAUUAGCUAGUUGGUAAGGUAACGGCUUACCAAGGCUACGAUGCGUAGCCGACCUGAGAGGGUGAUCGGCCACAUUGGAACGGAGACACGGUCCAUACGCCUACGGGAGGCAGCAGUAGGGAAUCUUCCGCAAUGGGCGAGAGCCUGACGGAGCAACGCCGCGUGAGUGAUGAAGGCGUUCGGCUCGUAAAACUCUGUUAUUAGGGAAGAACAAAUGUGUAAGUAACUGUGCACGUCUUGACGGUACCUAAUCAGAAAGCCACGGCUAACUACGUG
rnacentral:rRNA from 1 species